rnacentral:lncRNA from 1 species
GGGGGUGGGGUUCUGAGUACCCCAAUAAUGGGAUGGGGGGUGAUCAGGGGUCCCUGGAACCCCAUAAAUGGGAUGGGGGGGUUCCCAAUACCCCAUAAAUUGAAUGGGGUGGGGUCUGAGUACCCCAUAAAUGGGAUGGGGGGGUAUUGGGGAACCCCAGCACCCCAAUAAUGGGAUGGGGGGGGAUUGGGGGUCCCCAAUACCCCAAUAAUGGGAUGGGGGGAAUUGAGGGGUCCUCAGCCCCCCAUAAAUGCGAUGGGGGGGGUCUGAGUACCCCAAUAAUGGGAUGGGGGGGAUUGGGGGUCCCUGACACCCCAAUAAUGGGAUGGAAGGGCCUCAGUACCCCAAUAAUGGGAUGGGGGGGUCCCCAAUACCCCAUAUAUGGGAUGGGGGGGGAUUGGGGGUCCCCAGUACCCCAGUAAUGGGAUGGGGGGGGGUCUAAGCACCCCAUAUUUGGGAUGGGGCUCCCACCCCCCUCUCCUCACCUUCCUCCUCCUCCUUCUUCCUCCUCCUCCUCCUCCACCCCGCUGUCGUCGCUGGUUGCUUUGCCUCCUUCCUCUUCCUCUUCCUCUUCUUCCUCCUCCUCUUCUUCCUCCUCCUCUUCCUCUUCCUCUUCCUCUUCUUCCUCCUCCUCUUCCUCGCCCCCCCCAGCGCUGCCCCCCAUACCCACACACCCCCAUUCACAUCCCCAUUCUGGAUACAGGGACCCCCACACAGUGACUCCCCCCCCUCCUCUUCCUCCCCCAUUUCCUUCUUCCUCUUCCUCCCUCUCCCCUUUUUCCUGUUUCUCCCUCCCUCUUCCCCUCUUCCUCCUCCCCAUCCCCCUUCCUCUUCCUCUUCCCCCCCUUCCUCUUCCUCUUCCUCUUCCCUCCCCCCUCAUCUUCCUCCCCCCCCACUCACCUCUCUUCCUCUUCCUCUUCCUCUUCGUCUUCCUUUUCCUCUUCCUCCUUAUUUCCUGCUCCCUCCGCUUUGCUCCCUGCAGCACAAGGGCAGGAGCUGACACUCAACACACACACACACGCGUGACACGCGGGGCACACACACAUGACAGGUCACACGUGUCACACUCAGGGACACACACACAUGGGACACACAGGGAACACGCGUGA